CUCUUUAUAGUCCUGACAUCCCUGUUGAUAGAGAUCCAGUGACUCAGGAGGAGUUAUAUCAGGUGGACAGGAUUGAUGAUGUGGACAUCGACACCAUGGUCUUCUUCUGAUGUUUAUUCUCGUUAUAUCUUUUGAUAGGCCUCUGUUAGAUAUUGGGUGGUUGUUCCCCAUUCUCUUUAUAUCUUUUGAUAGGCCUCUGUUAGUAGUAGGGCGGCUGUGCCCCAUUUCCCUGUAUUUGUAGCUGUACAGAGCUGAUGUAUUAGAUGAUGAUAUACUUAGG
rnacentral:lncRNA from 1 species